UACGAAGGGUGCUAGCGUUGUUCGGAAUUACUGGGCGUAAAGCGCACGUAGGCGGACAGUUAAGUCAGGGGUGAAAUCCCAGAGCUCAACUCUGGAACUGCCUUUGAUACUGGGUGUCUUGAGUAUGGAAGAGGUGAGUGGAAUGCCGAGUGUAGAGGUGAAAUUCGUAGAUAUUCGGAGGAACACCAGUGGCGAAGGCGGCUCACUGGUCCAUUACUGACGCUGAGGUGCGAAAGCGUGGGGAGCAAACAGG
rnacentral:rRNA from 1 species